UCAAAUGUUGAGAAGCUGUCAAUUUCAGGAUAAAAAUAUUUAUCCAUAUAUUUUAAAAUAAUUAUAAAGCCACUAAAAUGCUACAAAUUUAUUAGUUAGUAAUGUAUAGGCGUCGAUAUCUUUAGUGAAGAAAUGUGUAUUACACGAAAAGGCCGCCAUUUGAUGUGUUUUCUAACAUCGUCGAUAUUCAAUACACGUUAGUAUAACCUACUGGUACAUAAAACUUCAUUAUAGAACAAGACAAGACCACAAUAGAUCUGAGAAGGUCGCAGUGGGUCAGGCCGAAAUCAACCUCUAGAAAUCUAAUCUAGAACAAGACAAAGACCUUACUUGCAAACUACCAUACAUAUCGUUUAAAAAGGAUGCUAAGUCAAGAAGUUUAGAUAAAUCUACAAUAUAUUAUCAUCAGACCAAACGAAGGAUAAUUAUUUAAAAGAAUAAGUUAUGUUAUGAUACAUAUAUAGAUUUGGAUGACAUCGCUUCAGGUGGUUUUACCAGUCAGGACUAACAGGGAUAUUAAUCAAAACAAUGAAAAAAGCUCAAAUAAAUUUGAUCCU
rnacentral:lncRNA from 1 species